UACGUAGGGGGCAAGCGUUGUCCGGAAUCAUUGGGCGUAAAGCGCGCGUAGGCGGCCCGGUAAGUCCGUUGUGAAAGUCAAAGGCUCAACCUUUGAACGCCGAUGGAUACUGCCGGGCUAGAGUCCGGAAGAGGCGAGUGGAAUUCCUGGUGUAGCGGUGGAAUGCGCAGAUAUCAGGAGGAACACCAUAGCGAAGGCAGCUCGCUGGGACGGUACUGACGCUGAGGCGCGAAAGCGUGGGGAGCGAACAG
rnacentral:rRNA from 1 species